rfam:Picea glauca, whole genome shotgun sequence.
UCUGGUGUCCCAUGCAUAGAGGAACCACACCAACCCAUCUUGAACUUGGUGGUUAAACUCUACUGCGGUGAUGAUACUGUAGGGGAAUCCCUAUGAGAAAAUAGCUUGGCGCUAGGA